UACGAAGGGGGCUAGCGUUGCUCGGAAUCACUGGGCGUAAAGCGCACGUAGGCGGAUUGUUAAGUCAGGGGUGAAAUCCUGGAGCUCAACUCCAGAACUGCCUUUGAUACUGGACGAUCUUGAGUUCGGGAGAGGUGAGUGGAACUGCGAGUGUAGAGGUGAAAUUCGUAGAUAUUCGCAAGAACACCAGUGGCGAAGGCGGCUCACUGGCCCGAUACUGACGCUGAG
rnacentral:rRNA from 1 species